ACUUGCAGUACAGUUAUGUGCCUGUCUUUCCUACCCCUCAUACCACACAGGAAACCAGCCCUGGUAGGAGACUGAGAGAAUAACGGCAUCUUCGAGACGAUGUGAUCUCCUACAUGAAUAGUGAAUACCAACUGAUGACACCGUCUGCCUUAGAGUAUACAGUUCUUCAGAGGUUCCACAUUGUGAGAAACCAACAGAUAGGGGAAAGAAGAUCCAGUGUUUAGCUGUCCAUAAAAAUAUGGAUCUAGCAAUGAUGCAGGAGUUUCGGGAAGCAUGUUGGCCUCUGAAGAUAAUAUGGGAGCGCAUUAACCAUGCCUAUAGUUCAGAUACUCCUCCUAAGGACUGGGGACUUCAAAAAGGGGACUAUGGCAUCCAACAGUGGAAUUUCAGAUCUAACAAUGAAAAGUACUACGUGGUUUGGGAUUCCAUCUGCUCUUAUUGGCAGGUGAACACUCCGUUUGGACAAUGUUUAUUUUUUAUAGGACCUUUGUUCAUCAACAAAGAAAGGACGGGUCUGGCUGUACCCCCGUUAUUCAAUGUCAGUGUGUCAGAUACAGAUAUAUUGAUGCCGGAAAGGACUGAAAAGGUGUUAGAGCAAACUCGGAAAAUUUUAAAAUUUUUGGUUCAGCCAUGUAGCAACAACGCAUCAUGAGAUGCAAGCGGCAUGUUUUCCCAGAGAGUGAUGAUAGUUCGUUUAGUUUAUUGCAAUAAGAUAUUUAACUGAACGUCAAGGCGUGGAGAUGUCACAUUUUAAUGGGGAGUUCCUAUACUAGUGGGUGGCCACAGGGCCGUCUUGCAAAUGUAAAACAUCCUGAGUGUUGCAAACUCGCUGAAUGGGAGCUGAUUGGGCGUAUCUUAAAUCAAUAAAUUAGAUGGAGAUGUCUUGUACUCCACAAUUUCGCUUUUCGUAUAGGAACCACAUAACAUGUAAAAAUGUAAUUAAACCCUAACUUCUACAAAUGGGAUACUUCAUGUCCUCUUACACAUCAAACUUGAUGCUUUCGGCAUACAGGUGGUCGGGAUGCUGACAGUAAGAAUCCCAAUGCCGAAAUCCCGACACUGGUCAGAAGGGCGGUGCCAGAACUCCCACUGUCAGCAUUCCGAACGUAAGUAUGCCAGGGCUGAUUAGGGUUAGACUGCUGGGGGAGGGGGAGUGAUGGGUUUAGGCAGUAUAGGGGAGUUUAGGAUUAGGCUGCAAGGUAGGGAGGGUUAGGUUUAGGCUGUGGGUGGACGGUUAGGCACUAAAAUAAGAGGAUUAGGCAUAGGCACUAAGGGGGUAUGUUAGGUUUAGACUGCAGGUGGGGUUAGGGUUAGCCUUUUUAAACAUUUUCAAAGCUCAAAAAUAUUACUUUAGGACAGUAAUAGACAGAGGCGGAUUGGCCAUAGGGUUUACAGGGAAGAUUCCCAGUGGGCCGACGCCCCCGUGGGGCCUGUUUUGUUUGAGGACAUGUGAUCCUUUUUAUACACAUAAUGAAUAAGAUGCAAAAUAAUUUGCAUAUAUGAAAAUUACUUUGCCACUUAGCCUGUGAUUGCAGAUGAUCUAGUGUAUGCUCUGUCUGCCUGCUUGGCUCUCAUAUAAGAUUGAGUGAAUAGUGAUUUGGAUACGGUUGGUGUAAUAAGCAAGAAAAUAUAUAUUUCUAAAGAAUUAUAAAGUUUCCUAAAUUGUGAAGGUGUAUCAUAUAAUGUGCUCAUA